rnacentral:lncRNA from 1 species
CCACACUCUAUGGUUUGUGCUGUACAUUACUUUUGAAGAUAUAUAAAUUACAUAUCUUGAGAAGCUGCAUACAACAAAUUAAUUUGAACAAAUUAAAAAAUUACAUGUUAAACUAUAUAAAUAAAUCCCCGUGCAUGCAUGUGUACAUCUAUUAGCACUAAUAUUUUCUAUACGUACGACCUAUAUCCAUAUAUACAUUGUAAUCAACACAUCAGUUCGGAUCGUGGCUUAUAUGAACAAUGCAUUAGUGUUCACAAUCAUUCUUGUUCAUGGCCUAUAUGACCAAUUUGGACAUGACCCUGCCUGAUGAGAAAACAAAAAAAAGUUAUGUCAGUUAUCUCCCAAAAAAAAAAGGGCAGAAGAAAAGAUAUGUCAGCGUGUUUCUCAAGCCUAACAUGCAUGCACGAUAAUAUCUUAACAAAAAGGAGUAGCACGAUCAGAGUGUAGGCCGCUUAUCGAGUUGACUUACCUUGGUGGAUUUUUGCAUUUUGGCCAUUUUAGAAAACUUAUUUACAAAUGAACUCCUAAAAAUAUAUAAUUAAGAAUUGACAUUUUUUUCCGGAUCCAAUGAUGUGUGCCAAGAUCCAACAUCUCGGCACCACGGCCUUUCACGCCGAGACCAUCGACUCUAGCUGUCAUGUGAUGGAGAAUGUUGGAGCCAUAGAUGACAUCGUUACCCAGGAUCUAUUUGCGAAAAAUAUUCUUAGAAAGGACAUAUAAAUAUGAAAAAAAAUAUAAAUAGGUUCUCUUCGGCGGCAAGACGUUGGACAUAGGCGCAAAUGACCAUGACACAAAGCAAGAGAGUCCACUUUUUGUUAAUGUUUUUGUAAGGGCUAUUUAUAAAAAUGUUUUUCAAAAGGGUUGUAUUAUACAAAAUUCAGCUUACUUUUGUCCCUAAUGUUUUGACCAUUCCAAUUCCGGGGAAUAAGAUAUACCCAAACCUUCAAAUCGUUCAUGUAAGCACAAGUUAGAAGGUCUACAGAUUAUGUUUCACAAACAUACGAGGUCUAACAAAGGGAAUACGUACCCUAUCGCCAUUGGAAUUAUAUUUGAAUUCAAAUCUCCGUUAGGUUUCAGAAGAAAUCAUGUACUCCCUCCGUUCCUAAGUGUUUGACGAUGUUAAAUUUUUUAUACAAAUUUGACUAUUCAUCUUAUUUAAAAAAUUUAUAUAAAUAUUAAUUAUUUUUAUAUCAUUUCAUUUAUUGUUAAAUAUACUUUUAUGCAUAUAUAUAUAUAUCUUUACAUAUUUUAUAAAAAAUGUUGAAUAAACCGAUAGGUCAAAUAUAAGUCGAAAAGUCAACAACAUCAAACAUUUCGGGACGGAUGUAGUAGUUAUUAGCUAAUUGUUUUGUUUGCUGACAAGCAAAUCAAUUCAUUUGCAAGUUUCAGAAGCAAAAAAUUGGAUGGAUGCAUGCAUGGACCAUUCCUAAUCGUAAUUACCUGCAAGAGGAUUGUCACUUGGUGAUUUGUAUCCGCCUGCCUUUUGGAUGAUCCGGAGCCACCCUGGGGAGGCACAGAGCUACUAAGUCCUGCAUAAAUAAUAAUGAAUUAACAUCACCACAAAUGCAUGUACAUAUGCAUAUAAGUUCGGAUGAUCGAUGAUACCCUUGGGAGUGGACAUUCUUCUCAAUUAAUCAAGGACCUUGUUGAGAAUACUUCAAUUGAUCAAAUUUGCUGGUCUGGUGCUUCUUUU